rnacentral:lncRNA from 1 species
CAUUUUUGCCUUGUUUCCAUGGUAACACAAGACAUUUUCGAAAUUCCAACGCCAAAUUGCACAUCUUCCAAUGUUGCUCAUCAUUACUGUGAAGUUUCAUUAAAUUUGGAGCAUUUUGAUAUUUUCGAAAUUUUUGGUGUAGUAUCCAUGGCAACAUAGUAGUUCCAAUGAAUGCCAAAAACCAUCCAAAACAAGUAUAUGCCCGGCACCUACAUUGUAUCAAAAUAUAAUGAUUCUAAGUUAAAGCAUCUCCAAAUAAUUCCCAAAAACCAAAAAGUGGAAUUUUUCACAUUUGUUCCGUUUCCAUGGUAACGGCAGCCAUUUUUAAUGGUCCUAUGACCUACUGCAACCCGAAAUUUUGUGUUCCUCAUUAUAGUUGACUAUCACUAAGAUUGGUUCCAUUGCCUUAAAAAAAUCUGCCGGACAAAAAUCAUUGGAAGAAUAAGAAUAAUAAUAACAAAGAAACGGAGGAAAAGCAAUAUGUCACCCGACAUUGUCGAUCGGGUGACAUAAUAAUAAAUGUACAGCCCGCCGACAUUGUCGAUCGGGUGACCGUACCGUUGAGGGUGCCAUAACUAGAUUUGUAAUUGCUAGCAAUAACGGAUGGCACCCUCGUCCCCCCAUUGCCAGGCGAGCGGCAGCCAUUUUGAAAAUUUCAAAGUCAAAGAGUGCAUCUACACAUGCAAGUCAUCAUUUUUGCAAAAUUUCAUUAAGUUUGGAAGCAUUUUGAAAUUUUGGACAAUUUUGCUGUUUCCAUGGUUACGGCGGCCAUUUUGGAAAUUCCAACUUCAAAAUGCAACUCCGCACAUGUCAGUCACUAUUCCUGUAAAGUUUCA